CGUAGGGCGCAAGCGUUAUCCGGAUUUAUUGGGCGGUAAAGGGACGUCGUAGGCGGCUCGUCGCGUCCGGUGUGAAAGUCCAUCGCUUAACGGUGGAUCUGCGCCGGGUACGGGCGGGCUUGAGUGCGGUAGGGGAGACUGGAAUUCCCGGUGUAACGGUGGAAUGUGUAGAUAUCGGGAAGAACACCGAUGGCGAAGGCAGGUCUCUGGGCCGUCACUGACGCUGAGGAGCGAAGCGUGGGGAGCGAACAGGAUU
rnacentral:rRNA from 1 species